UACGGAGGGUGCGAGCGUUAUCCGGAUUUAUUGGGUUUAAAGGGUGUGCAGGCGGGUAGGUAAGUCGAUUGUGAAAUUCCCGAGCUUAACUCGAGAAUUGCAUUCGAUACUGCCUAUCUUGAAUACUGCGGAGGUGAGUAGAAUAUGUCAUGUAGGGUGAAAUGCUCAGAUAUGACAGAGAAUUUCGAUUGCGAAGGCGGCUCACUAUACAGUUAUUGACGCUCAGGCACGAAAGCGUGGGGAUCAAACA
rnacentral:rRNA from 1 species